UUCUUUUAUGCAUCAAAUAAAUAGGGGAAGACUCAAAUAAGAACAUUAAGUUCAUUUCAAACAAGAUGUGUGGCACUGACAAUCACAAUACAUACCGCCAAAGCUAUCGUGUUGGGAUCGAAUUGUAAUCCUCUUAGAGUAGAGCCUCUCAAUUUUUUUUAUAAAUUUCUAAAAAUAAAACCACUUCCACUUCGGAUAACAUAAAUUGAGUAAAGCUUCUCAUCCCCAAAAAAAUGUCAACCGACACUCAUGCAGAAGAGGUUCUCGCCGACCCGUAAUCCAAGCCCGACCCCGUACCCGUCACCUCGAAAGAGCUCAAGGAAGAAGGAGAAGAAGCAGAUAAACUGAAAGCGACGCUUCUGAUUUCGGGAGCGGUGGUGGCGGUUAUCGGCGCUAUUUUUGCUAUAGCCAAGAAGAUCAAAGAGGCUUGACCCAACAACAUCCACUACCACAAUUAAAUUUCUUGUUUCUUCUUAUUUUUGUGUUUUUCAAUUCGUAAUUGUGUUAAUGGGCUGUACAUUGAUGAAGCUCUCCUGCCUGCUAUAAUAAAAUCGUGAUGGUCUUAUCUUAGUCGACCAGAUUUAUUUA